AAAAAUAGCAGUGUGUGUUUGGGAACACUGCCUGGCUGUUCCUGCCAUAGGAUACUCACUGCCAUAGGAUACUCAGUUGCAUUUCCCUAUUGUGUCAGCUUGAGGCUUUUGACCCUGAAGGUGGAGCCAGACUUUCAAAUUCUUCACUGAAAUCCCAGCUGCUGCAGGACCCUCAUGGUUAACAAAACUUCUGGGACACCGUGAUAUCCAGGAUGAAGACAGUAAUAUGUAUUCAGGAGGGUGACGGUAUUUGGGAUGGCACUAGUGCAGAGAGGGCUAGAGAGGAAUUGUCUGCCCUCAAUGCACACCCCUGUAACGUCCAAGAGGCACAAUGUAUUCUCUGGAGCUGAGCCAUAAACAGAGGCUGCUGAAGACAAGAGUCAGCUGGAAGAUUAUGGUGAUAGAAUACUUUCUCUGUAAGCAAAGACAGCAGGAAUCAGAAGAAAGGAAGACAGAAGUCAUAUACACCGAUUUACCAGAAGUUGCCCUGAACCUUAGAUGACCCUUCUAGCAGUUUUGACUCUCAUUUUGCUGUCCCAGUCUCCAGAAACCAUUAACCGAAAGAUACAUUGCCAUCAUAAAUCCAAGUACUUAAGUACUAAGAACCUUUGUUGAAUCCAAAAUAAUACCCCGAAACUACAUAUACAAUAGUCUGCCUACACUGUAAUAAAGAAAUGGAUCCUGCCUCAUUA